rnacentral:rRNA from 1 species
CCAGACUCCUACGGGAGGCAGCAGUGGGGGAUAUUGCACAAUGGGGGAAACCCUGAUGCAGCGACGCCGCGUGGGUGAAGAAGCGCCUCGGCGCGUAAAGCCCUGUCAGCAGGGAAGAAAAUGACGGUACCUGAAGAAGAAGCCCCGGCUAACUACGUGCCAGCAGCCGCGGUAAUACGUAGGGGGCAAGCGUUAUCCGGAUUUACUGGGUGUAAAGGGAGCGUAGGUGGCAUGGCAAGCCAGAAGUGAAAACCCGGGGCUUAACCCCGCGGAUUGCUUUUGGAACUGUCAGGCUGGAGUGCAGGAGGGGCAGGCGGAAUUCCUGGUGUAGCGGUGAAAUGCGUAGAUAUCAGGAGGAACACCGGCGGCGAAGGCGGCCUGCUGGACCGCGACUGACGUUGAGGCUCGAAAGCGUGGGGAGCGAACAGGAUUAGAUACCCUUGUA